CGUCUAUAUACGUAUAGCAUAUCAAUAAGCGGAGGAAAAGAAACUAACAAGGAUUCCCUUAGUAACGGCGAGUGAAGCGGGAAGAGCUCAAAUUUGAAAUCUUCAAGGUUCUACCUUGACGAAUUGUAGUUUAUAGAAGUGUUUUCUGUUAGUAGAGUGGCAAAAGUUCUUUGGAAUAGGACAUCAUAGAGGGUGAGAAUCCCGUAUUUGGUCAUUCUUUCUAGCUUUGUGAUACACUUUCAACGAGUCGGAUUGUUUGGGAAUGCAGUCCAAAAUGGGUGGUAAAUUUCAUCUAAAGCUAAAUAUUGGCGAGAGACCGAUAGCGAACAAGUACCGUGAGGGAAAGAUGAAAAGAACUUUGAAAAGAGAGUUAAACAGUACGUGAAAUUGUCAAAAGGGAAGCGUUUGACACCAGUGUUGUUUUUCCGAAAAUCAAUUACGGAAUGUUUUAUUUUUGAGAAGUUAUGACUUCAUCGGCUUGCUUCUCUCUUUAUGAAACUUUCUUAAUGCACUUUUCGGUUAACAAGUCAACAUCAAUUUCUUUUGUUGUAAAAGGGUAUGAGGAAGGUGGCUUUCUUUUCGGAGAAAGUGUUUAUAGCCUUGUACCUCUGCAAUCGGAGAGAUUGAGGUCUGCAGCGUAGAUCCUUCGGGGUUAGAUACAUUUGUGCUAAGUUAUAGCUCUUCAUAGACAACUUGUUGACUAUGUUUAGUCUUGUAGCUUACUCGCUUAUGCUAUUUUACCUACGCUUAGGAUGUUGAUAUGCAUGACUGAUAU
rnacentral:rRNA from 1 species